UUUUUAGCUCACCUGGCCCAAAGGGCCAAGUGAGCUUUUCUCAUCACUUGGCGUCCGGCGUCCGUCGUCGUCCGUCGUCGUCGUCGUCCGUCGUCGUUAGCUUUUACAAAAAUCUUCUCCUCUGAAACUACUGGGCCAAAUUGGACCAAACUUGGCCACAAUCAUCAUUGGGGUAUCUAGUUUAAAAAAUGUGUGGCGUGACCCGGUCAACCAACCAAGAUGUCAGCCACGGCUUAAAAUAGAACAUAGGGGUAAAAUGCAGUUUUUGGCUUAUAACUCAAAAACCAAAGCAUUUAGAGGAAAUCUGACAGGGGUAAAAAUGUUUAUCAGGUCAAGAUCUAUCUGCCCUGACAUUUUCAGAUGAAUCGG
rnacentral:lncRNA from 1 species